GUCCAGCUGACAUGUCACAAAUAGGACGAAACGCGCAUCCUGGAU
rnacentral:hammerhead_ribozyme from 1 species